CCCUUAGAUGUUCUGGGCUGCACGCGCGCUACACUGAAGCGUUCAACGAGUAUUCACCUUGCCCGGGAGGGUUGGGUAAUCUUUUGAAAACGCUUCGUGAUGGGGAUAGAUUAUUGCAAUUAUUAAUCUUCAACGAGGAAUUCCUAGUAAGCGCGAGUCAUCAGCUCGUGCUGAUUACGUCCCUGCCCUUUGUACACACCGCCCGUCGCUCCUACCGAUUUCGAGUGGUUCGGUGAACCUUUCGGACCGGCAAUGCCUCGUGUUGCGCCGGAAAGUCAAGUAAACCAUAUCACUUAGAGGAAGGAGAAGUCGUAACA
rnacentral:rRNA from 1 species